rnacentral:rRNA from 1 species
ACAAGCGGUGGAUGAUGUGGAUUAAUUCGAUGCAACGCGAAAACCUUACCUACCCUUGACAUGUCCAGAACCCUGCAGAGAUGCGGGGUGCCGAAAGGGAAUUGGAACACAGGUGCUGCAUGGCUGUCGUCAGCUCGUGCCGUGAGGUGUUAGGUUAAGUCCUGCAACGAGCGCAACCCUCGUCGCUAGUUAAUUUCUCUAGCGAUACUGCCCGUAAAACGUGGAGGAAGGUGGGAUGACGUCAAGUCAGCAUGGCCUUUAUGUCUUGGGCUACACACACGCUACAAUGGAUGGUACAAAGGGUUGCCAAAGAGCGAUCUGGAGCUAAUCCCAAAAAACCAUCCUCAGUUCAGAUUGCAGGCUGCAAUGCCUGCAUGAAGUUGGAGUUGCUAGUAACCGCAGGUCAGCACACUGCGGUGAAUACGUUCUCGGGCCUU